rnacentral:rRNA from 1 species
GACGGAGGAGGCAAGCGUUAUCCGGAAUUAUUGGGCGUAAAGGGUACGUAGGCGGCUGGUCAAGUCUGGGGUCAAAGGCCACAGCUCAACUGUGGGAAGGCCCUGGAAACUGACCGGCUAGAGUGAGGUAGGAGUUGCGGGAAUUCCCGGUGUAGCGGUGAAAUGCGUAGAGAUCGGGAAGAACACCUGAGGCGGAAGCGCGCAACUGGGCCUCACCUGACGCUGAGUUACGGAAGCUACGGUAGCGAAUGGC